UACAGAGGGUGCAAGCGUUGUUCGGAAUUAUUGGGCGUAAAGCGCGUGUAGGCGGCUCAGCAAGUUGGGUGUGAAAGCCCUCGCUUAACCGAGGAAGUGCGCCCAAAACUACUAGCUUGAGUACCGGAGAGGAUGGUGGAAUUCCCGGUGUAGAGGUGAAAUUCGUAGAUAUCGGGAGGAACACCAGUGGCGAAGGCGACCAUCUGGACGGAUACUGACGCUGAGACGCGAAAGCGUGGGGAGCAAACAGGG
rnacentral:rRNA from 1 species